rnacentral:rRNA from 1 species
AGCGAACGCUGGCGGCAGGCCUAACACAUGCAAGUCGAACGGACCCUUCGGGGUUAGUGGCGGACGGGUGAGUAACACGUGGGAACGUGCCUUUAGGUUCGGAAUAGCUCCUGGAAACGGGUGGUAAUGCCGAAUGUGCCCUUCGGGGGAAAGAUUUAUCGCCUUUAGAGCGGCCCGCGUCUGAUUAGCUAGUUGGUGAGGUAACGGCUCACCAAGGCGACGAUCAGUAGCUGGGCUGAGAGGAUGACCAGCCACACUGGGACUGAGACACGGCCCAGACUCCUACGGGAGGCAGCAGUGGGGAAUCGUGAGCAAUGGGCGAAAGCCUGACGCAGCCAUGCCGCGUGAAGGAUGAAGGUCUUAGGAUUGUAAAAUUCUUUCACCGGGGAAGAUAAUGACGGUACCCGGAGAAGAAGCCCCGGCUAACUUCGUGCCAGCCGCCGCGGUAA